rnacentral:rRNA from 1 species
AUUGAACGCUGGCGGCAGGCCUAACACAUGCCAGUCGAGCGGAUGAAGGGAGCUUGCUCCUGGAUUCAGCGGCGGACGGGUGAGUAAUGCCUAGGAAUCUGCCUGGUAGUGGGGGAUAACGUCCGGAAACGGGCGCUAAUACCGCAUACGUCCUGAGGGAGAAAGUGGGGGAUCUUCGGACCUCACGCUAUCAGAUGAGCCUAGGUCGGAUUAGCUAGUUGGUGGGGUAAAGGCCUACCAAGGCGACGAUCCGUAUCUGGUCUGAGAGGAUGAUCAGUCACUCUGGAACUGAGACACGGUCCAGACUCCUACGGGAGGCAGCAGUGGGGAAUAUUGGACAAUGGGCGAAAGCCUGAUCCAGCCAUGCCGCGUGUGUGAAGAAGGUCUUCGGAUUGUAAAGCACUUUAAGUUGGGAGGAAGGGCAGUAAGUUAAUACCUUGCUGUUUUGACGUUACCAACAGAAUAAGCACCGGCUAACUUCGUG